AUUAAGCAUGGCAGACACAGAGUAUGUACCCAAUAAAUAAUAGGUAUAAUUGUGCUCAUCCACACUCUCAUCAAUUACCUGGCAAAAAUUCUAUUCAAGGGCUAGGACUCUGCUACUCCACUCCAAUCCUCUUCAGUUCCACUAUGUUUACCUCAGUUCCCCAACCAAAUGGGUAACAGCUGGUUUUGCAUGAAAGUGAGCAACUAUGGAGGCAGAGGAUUGUCUCCUCACGUACUCGGGAUGAAUUCUACCCCGAGGCACCACACCCUUGUUGGGCCAACUGCACAGAAUUCUGUGCAUGCACGACUAUCAAGUGUUUAUCUAUUGCCCCAGAAGCAAGCUUCUCUAAACCUGGUGCUUGUUUCUCUCCUAUGCUUCCAUCUCCUGUUGACCUCCCUUCCAAUUCUUUCCAAUGUGCCUCAUGGAAUUUUCAUUCUGUUAUGAGUAACCCUCUGUUGAUCUCCUAGUUUUCAUUAAACGUUGUCUGUGCUUCAAGAACACUGAAUAUCUUUUUGCUGUGUUAAAUCCAAAGCUUAGUCAUUGGUCCUCAUCUUAGUUGAAUCCUCAGUACUUUCGCUACUACCACCCUUGUACAAGCUGCUACCUUUUUUUUUUUUUUGCCUGAAAUGAUACAGUAGUGUAUAAACCAAGUAUCUCUGCUUGCAUCGUCAUCUGCCUGUCAUGUAUGCUCAAUGUAGUAACCACAGUGAUCCUUAUAAAAGUAAAGUCAGGUAAAUGUCACUCCUUGGCUACUUCAGGUCAGGGACCAUGUCAUUUUUUUUUUUCCCUCUGUAUCUCCAGGGCUUAUCGCUGAAACUUAGCAGGCACUCAGUAAAUAUUUUGCUAAGCAGUUAAAACUAAGAGAAGAAAGAGGAGGGAGAAAUAUGGUAAUCACUUACCACAUCCUCUUUUAACCUCUUGAAUAUCUUACCAAUGUCUUCUUUUGUUCUUACUUUCACAUCAUUUGAUUUGAUAAAACAAAACUAUUAUCUAGAGAGGUAAGGCAGACUUGUGAACUGGACCCGUAGAAGUUAAGUGAUGUCCCUGUUUGCAGUGUCAAUGAGAUUGAGGGCUUGGGCUUGAACCCAACCUUCUCCCUCCAAAUAGCCUGCUCUUUCUGUUAUGUCAUGUUUCAUAUACAAGUUUGGGAGCCUCCAGCCCUGACUAUCCCAACAUAUACAACAUAAUGUAUAUGUUGUCUUUGGAAAUAUCUUCUGUGAAGGCCAAGCAUUUAAUAUUACAGGAAACCUUGAAGUGGAUAUGGAAGCUUGGCAGCCAGCUUGGAUCUUCCUAAGAGCCUCUUUCCUUCAUACCAUCUUCAGAGUAUAACUCCUACUUGAAGAGUGUGAGAGAAUAUUUACUACUCGGAUGUUUGAGACAUACCAAAAAAUGCUUUUUGAUCCUUUAUCAAGAAGACGUAAUGACCAAGAUUGAUAAAGAAAAAUGCAAUGGUUACUUUACCUGCAACCAUCUCAAAGACGCUCUAAUGUCAUUUCAGAGGACUUCAGCCAUGAACUUGGUGAUGAGCCAGAGAAGGUAACUUUUCAUCCCCUACAAGACCUCCCAGAGGCCUUUAUUCUUCUUACAGCGAUUCUGCUGUGAAUUCGUACGGAAUGGGCUCCAGCAGCUCAGGCUACUUUCCACUGGGUCUCACAAAGUGUGCUUCUCGAAGCAGGCUGGGGCUUCCCUUGAACCCAGAUUCCCACUUAUGUACCUAAAGGAGCAACUCCAUGUUUUCCAAAAGGCCUGAAAAACAUAUAGCAGAUUCCAUGUUGCAGCUAACCUUAAAGAAAUCAUCACUUGGAACUGAUUCAGAAUCCCAUAUCACAUUUUGUUAUUACUUUUGCCUGGUCUCCUGCUGUCUGGAACAGUUUUUCAGUCUUCCUUCAUUUUCAAGAGUGUGAAAGGAUCCCAAGACCAAAAGUCUGGGAACUGCUGGUUUAGAGUCACAAUACUGACUGCUCAAAAUGACUUUUUAAAGAAGAAAGCCUUAAAAACCCUUGAGUGAAUGGUUGGUAUUUACAGACAAGCAAAUGUAUGGAAGAGAAACGAGAGACCCAGCCUGAAUCUGUUGAAUGAACGAAAGGGGAAAUGCCCUAAGGAGUCAGAUGGAAGAAGUUUUUCUGGGAAGAGCAGAACACAGGAGUUGGGGUGCAGACCUCCUGGAUCACCAGCAGAAGGAAAAGAGCAGUGAGACGUUAAAGUGAUUGAGACAAAAAUGGAAGUAAAACAGCUUAAGGCUUUCUGAGAUCGAGUUCCUGGCAGUGUCAUCAGCAGAUGGUUUCUUCUGAAGUUCAGGGGAAGAGAAGAUGCUCGAAGAACUCUCCAGGGACUGAGUGGGUGGUACAGAGCUAGUGCUGUAGAUGCCAUGUAUACAGGCAAAUUCCCCAAUGAGUGUUUUCCAAUAUCAAGUUUAACUGGCAUUUAAGAUAUAUGCCAAAGGUAGGUAAAUUAUUUUGGCCUGUGCUUAUAGGUUUAUUUCCCUGGAUGAAGCUUUCUGUCUCUGUCCUAGUGCACUGUAGCAGAUGCAGGGUCUUUCCAUACAAUACAUUAAAAGCUGCAUCUCAUUUUAAAUAUAUUAUAGAAACCCUGAUCAUACAAUACAUACAAGAUUUUUAAGAUCAGCCUUCAGUCGAUUUUUUUGCUUUAUUUUUGUUCUGGAGGUCAAAAUGAGUGGUUAACUGUCUAAGUUGAUUGCAGAGAAAGUUACUACUCAUUCUAAACGUAGGUUUUUAGAAAAGUGUUCUUGGCAGUUGCUACCAUUGGCUUUUUCCAACUUACAUGGGAAUCAAGAUUCAGAACUGGUACACCAAUGGGAAGAGCCUGGAAAAUAGACUAUUGAUCAAGAUGAAUCUGGUCCAGAUACUUUAAGACCUUUUCAGUGUGUUUUUAAGAUUAUAAGUUUGAACUAACAGAAACUUCAAUGCUGUUUUUUCACAAGUCAAUGUGUAGUGUACUGUUAUUCUUUUUUUUCCUGUAAUAUCUUAAUAAUAUUCCUGGCUGUAAGAAAAAGUUAACACUAUACCUAUGUUUUGACUUACUUUAUAGAAGACCCAAACAAUAUUUAACAAAAGGAUUUUUCUCAAAUACUAUUUUGAAAUCACUAUAUUAGACACUAUCUUAAAUUUAUUUCUCAAUUUGCUUCUUUUUGAAACUUCCACAUUUUGGUGUUCUUUUCAGCAUCACUCAUUUUCUUUCAUAAUAAAGAUACCCAAUAACAAUAUCAUAAUAAAGAUUUGAUAACAAAUCUCCAGUUUUGGAGUGUUACAUUUCAUAUCUACAUGCUUACAGAGAAUUUAGUAUGAAUAUUCCCUGGCCUUAGUUCCUCUAAGCCUAGGAUACUUGUAGUCAUUUGGCAAAUAAUUUAAUCCAUGGCAAACAUGAGUCUUAAUACAAAAAUUAUUGAGUAGGCAAAAAAUAAUUGAACAUAUUUUGGACUGAUUACCAGUGCAUUAAAAAAGUAGAGGUUUAAGGAUGAGAAUAAUAAGUUUUUUUGUUUUUACUUAAAUUUAUAUAAAAGGAGUGAAAAUACAGUAGCCUAUAGUACUUAAGAGUGUGGGUAUAUUUUCAGCACUUAAUAAUUACUAGUUGAAUUGCAUAAUAUGGGACUAUAACUGAUAUGGUUUGGCUCUGUGUCCCCGCCCAAAUCUCAUGUUGAAUUAUAAUUUCCAAUAUUGGAGGAGGUACCUAGUGGGAGGUGACUGGAUCAUUGGGGGAAAUUUCCCCCUUGCUGUCCUCAUGAUAGUGAGUGAGUUCUCACAAGAUCUGAUGGUUUAAAAGUGUGUGGCAUUUCCCCCUUUACUCUUUCUCUCUCCUGCUGGCCAUGAGAAUAAGUGCUUGCUUCCCAUUCACCUUCUGCCAUGCUUGUGUUUCCUGAGGCUUCCCAGCCAUGCUUCUUGUUCAAGCUGCAGAACUGUGAGUCAAUUAAACCUCAUUUCUUCAUAAAUUACCCAGUCUCAGCUCUUUAUGGGAGUGUGAGAAUGGACUAAUAAAAUAUCUCUAGAAUUAUGUUUUUGGAGAUAAUUUAAAGAUAAACAAAUAUUGGAAACCUCAUUUGAUCACACAGAGAACAGUAAAUGGAAGUUCUACUUUUUCUCCAGGGCCUUUCUCAUGCUUAUGCAGGGAUUAUUCACCCAGAUAUCCUGAAAUAAGACAUCCAAUUAAGGUACCUGCUAUCUCAUGUAACACAGAAGAAAGUUGAGCAUAGAGGUUAAACAUUACCUAAUAUUGUUGGAAAAGCUUCGAAGCGUUCAUUUUCAAAGCAGCUAAUGUAAACCAUGAUAAUCACUAGUAGCACUAUGCCAUUUUAAAUACUUCAAUAUUUUGUAGUUAUUAGAUUCUAAGUAAGUAUAAAAUGUAGUGAAUACAAAUUUUAUUUGCCUAAACAGUGUUAGACAAUAUAAAUUAACGAGUUAUUUUUUAUUCUGUUUAAUAUUUUCAAGCCAAUAAACACUUUACUAAAGUA
rnacentral:lncRNA from 1 species